CCCUCGCGUGUAACGCCGUCUCUAGACCUUCGGACUGGACCCAUGGCUUUCUGAACUCUGCUUCCCUACCUGGACAAUGCUCUUGGACACUGCUACUGUAGGAGCCAGGGUGGCACCAAGGAAUAGGUCAGAGCUGUGGAGCCAUGCGAUUGUCCUCCUUGCUUCACCCAGCCACUGCUCCAUUGCCAAGCCCAAGACUCAUGUGGCAGCACUCACCGAGUACCUUGCAGAUGUCAGCUACUGUGCGGAAGACCGGCUGGGCAAAAUUGGCCCGGAUCUUGACGUUGCAGCGGUUUGGUAAGGAAAGAAGCACUGGCUUGUGCUGGGGAGUGUACCGGAGUUUGGCAUCGGCCAAAAUCCCAUAUUUAUCCAGGCUCCAGUUUGUCUUCAGCAGCCAAAGCUUCUUCUGCUCCCACCACAAGGCGUGGUCUGACCAGUCCCUCUGAAGUUCUGGAGAACAGAAAAACAAAACAGGACACACCCAUCAGUAUGUAACAAUAAACACAGAUCCAGAGAAGAACA